rnacentral:misc_RNA from 1 species
GAUGAAGAACGUAGCGAAAUGCGAUACUUGGUGUGAAUUGCAGAAUCCCGUGAACCAUCGAGUCUUUGAACGCAAGUUGCGCCCGAAGCCGUCAGGCCGAGGGCACGCCUGCCUGGGCGUCACACGCCGUUGCCCCCCCGCGCCCCGCACCCAACUCUUUGGGAGCGACCGCGGGGCGGGCUGAUGAUGGCCUCCCGUGCGCUCCGCCGCGCGGUUGGCCCAAAUACCGAGUCCCCGGCGACGUGCGCCACGACGAUCGGUGGUUGAGAGACCUCUGUCGCAAGUCGUGCGCGCCCGUCGCGUCACGCGGGCUCGCAUAGCGCCUCGCGCCGCACCCGGUGCGGAGCUUUCAACGCGACCCCAGGUCAGGCGGGGUUACCCGCUGAAUUUUAGCAUAUCAAUAAGCGGAGGA